UAUCUGCAACAACAAUUACAUUUCAGGGGUAUGGUAGGAAGUAAUUUGCAGGUACAUCACUUAUUUUCAUGGGUGAAAUGCAGCUAAAGCUUUGUGGGUUUUUUUUGUUGUUGUUGUUGUUUUGUUUUGUUUUUAAAGAAAAGCUCAUACUAAUCCAUCACUUGUACUAAUGUAGAGUGCUUCAUAUUCACUUUGAUGAUGUCUUAAGAUAGAACAACAAAUCAUAGACUCACUUAAAUGCCCUUACAGAAGGAGAUACUGUUUUGUACUCGCCUCCAAAUCCACAGUGCACUCCAUGCUGUGGAGAAAAACAAACAGUUAAAAAGGCACACAAAACCCCUAAGAUAUAAAUAAAUCAGCAGGCAAAGCCAGUUUCAAUCUUUGUCCUGCUAUUUGAGAAAAGUUUGCACCAUUUUAAUGCACACUAUAGAAGUGGCUACAAUAAGUGCCUUCAAUUUAAUUCUACCUUUUACAUUAGAGCAAGCAUGAGCGAUGUGAGGACAGAAGAGCUAUAUAAUACAUCGGAAAACCGAUUCUCGAGAAGUACGGAUUUUAGAGUGCAUCUUUUCAAGCUCCUGGCAUUAUAGGACAAAAAUGUUCAGAUGCCACUGUCAAGGACUUGUUAAAUGGUACAUCUCUGGAACUUGUAGGAACUUGUCUCAAAACACUUAUGUAAUCUUCUUCCUCAAAGAAAGAAUCUGUUUGGAGAGACUCUUGGUUGACCAUCUACCCUCAGACCAAAGAUCUCAUCAUUGGAUCCCCAGUUACCAUAGUGGACAUGGUCUAUCAUGGAGAAGGUACCUGUGCUAAGAUCAAACAAAACCGAAGAAGUCUCAGUCAUCUUAGAAGAAGAAUAGAAGCAACAUGAAACACAGCGAUACAUAAUAGAGUGAGAAAU
rnacentral:lncRNA from 1 species